UCAAGCUACUAAGGGCGCACGGUGGAUGCCUUGGCGCCAGGAGCCGAUGAAGGGCGCAGCAAGCUGCGAUAAGCCCCGGGGAGCCGCAAGCGGGCGUUGAUCCGGGGGUACCCGAAUGGGGCAACCCGGCGCGGGUAAUGCCGCGUCAUCCCUAGCUGAAUCCAUAGGCUAGGGAGGGGAACCGGGGGAACUGAAACAUCUUAGUACCCCGAGGAGGAGAAAGAGAAAAUCGAUUCCCCCAGUAGUGGUGAGCGAAAAGGGAAGAGCCUAAACCGCCUCUGUGUGAAAGUCUGCAGGCGUUGCAGGGGUGGGGUUGUGGGUCCGGGCUGGAGCGGGCUGCAGACCGCUCGGGGAGUGAGAAAUCCUUCAUCUAGCCGAACUGGUCUGGAAAGGCCGGCCGCAGGAGGUAAGAGCCCUGUAGGCGAAAGGUGGGGGACUCUCUGGGCCUGGCACCCGAGUAACGCGGGGCACGUGGAAUCCCGCGUGAAUCUGGGCGGACCACCGCCUAAGGCUAAAGACUCCCUGGCGACCGAUAGUGAACUAGUACCGUGAGGGAAAGGUGAAAAGCACCCCGGGAGGGGAGUGAAACAGGACCUGAAACCGUGUGCCUACAAGCAGUCGGAGGGCGAUGGGUGGGGGCGCGAGUCUCCAUCCUGCCUGACGGCGUGCCUAUUGAAGAAUGAACCGGCGAGUUGCGGGCUGCAGCGAGGUUAAGGGGUGUGAGCCCUGGAGCCGUAGCGAAAGCGAGUCUGAAUAGGGCGUUAAGUUGUGGUCCGCAGACCCGAAGCCGAGUGAGCUACCCAUGGCCAGGGUGAAGCGCGGCUGACCCCGCGUGGAGGUCCGAACCCGUUGGCGUUGAAAAGUCAUGGGAUGAGCUGUGGGUAGGGGUGAAAUGCCAAUCGAACUCGGCGAUAGCUGGUUCUCCCCGAAAUAGCUUUAGGGCUAGCCUCGGGGGCUGGUAGGCGGAGGUAGAGCACUGAUUGGGCUAGGGGCCCUACCAGGUUACCGAACCCAUUCAAACUCCGAAUUCCGCUGUACUUUACCCCGGGAGUCAGUCUGUGGGGGAUAAGCUUCGCAGACGAGAGGGGAACAACCCGGACCGCCGGCUAAGGUCCCCAAGGCAGGCUAAGUGGUAAAGGAAGUGGGGUUUCCCAGACAGCCAGGAUGUUGGCUUAGAAGCAGCCAUCAUUUAAAGAGUGCGUAACAGCUCACUGGCCGAGUGGCCCUGCGCCGAAAAUACACGGGGCUUAAGUCUGCCACCGAAGCCGCGGACUGAUGGAAGUCAGUGGUAGGGGAGCGUUCUGUCUGCUGAGAAGGCUGAUCGUGAGGACGGCUGGAGCGGGCAGAAGUGAGAAUGCCGGUAUGAGUAGCGAAAAGGCUGGUGGGAAUCCGGCCCGCCGGAAGCCCGAGGGUUCCUGAGGAAGGCUCGUCCGCUCAGGGUUAGUCGGGGCCUAAGCUGAGGCCGAAAGGCGUAGGUGAUGGGGAGCCGGUUGAUAUUCCGGCACCACCUUUUGACCGUUAUGAGCGAUGGGGUGACGCAGUGGGGUAGGCCAACCGUGCGAUUGGUGGAGUGCGGCCAAGCCCGUAGGGGUGCUCUUCCAGGCAAAUCCGGGAGGGUGUUAACCUGAGGGGUGAAGGGGAGGGAAAUUGAGUACCGAAGUGGCUGAUCCCGUACUGCUGAAAAAAGCCUCUAGCCAGGUCAUGGGUGCCCGUACCCUAAACCGACACAGGUAGGCGGGGAGAGGAUCCCAAGGCGCGCGGGGCAACCCUCGCUAAGGAACUCGGCAAAAUGACCCCGUAACUUCGGGAGAAGGGGUGCCGACUGGGUGAAGCGCCAUGCGCGUGGAGCCUGGGAGGUUGCAGAGAAACGGCCCAAGCGACUGUUUAACAAAAACACAGGUCUCUGCUAAGGCGCAAGCCGAGGUAUAGGGGCUGACGCCUGCCCAGUGCUGGAAGGUUAAGGGGAGGGGUUAGCGGAAGCGAAGCUCCGAACCGAAGCCCCAGUGAACGGCGGCCGUAACUAUAACGGUCCUAAGGUAGCGAAAUUCCUUGUCGGGUAAGUUCCGACCCGCACGAAUGGCGUAACGACUUGGGCGCUGUCUUGACGGGGGGCUCGGCGAAACUGUAAAUACCUGUGAAGAUGCAGGUUACCCGCGACUAGACGGAAAGACCCCGUGGAGCUUUACUGUAGCCUGAGAUUGGAUUCUGGCAUGUUAUGUACAGGAUAGGUGGGAGGCAGGGAAAGAGGGACGCUAGUUCCUCCGGAGCCGACCUUGGGAUACCACCCUUAAUGUGCUGGAGUUCUAACCCCUGCCUGUGAGCCAGGGGGGGGACAUUCUCAGGUGGGCAGUUUGACUGGGGCGGUCGCCUCCUAAAAGGUAACGGAGGCGCCCAAAGGUUCCCUCAGCGCGGUUAGAAAUCGCGCGUUGAGUGUAAAGGCAUAAGGGAGCUUGACUGCGAGAGGAACAUCUCGAGCAGGGUGGAAACACGGGCUUAGUGAUCAGGUGGUACCGAGUGGAAGGGCCAUCGCUUAACGGAUAAAAGCUACCCCGGGGAUAACAGGCUGAUCUCCCCCAAGAGUCCACAUCGACGGGGAGGUUUGGCACCUCGAUGUCGGCUCGUCGCAUCCUGGGGCUGGAGCAGGUCCCAAGGGUUGGGCUGUUCGCCCAUUAAAGCGGUACGUGAGCUGGGUUCAGAACGUCGUG
rnacentral:rRNA from 1 species